GGCAGGCCUAACACAUGCAAGUCGAGGGGUAACAGGGAGCUUGCUCCGCUGACGACCGGCGCACGGGUGCGCAACGCGUAUGCAAUCUACCUCUUACUAGGGGAUAGCCCAGAGAAAUUUGGAUUAAUACCCUAUAUUAUAUGGAGUCGGCAUCGGCAUUAUAUUAAAGGUUACGGUAAGAGAUGAGCAUGCGUCCCAUUAGUUAGUUGGUAAGGUAACGGCUUACCAAGACUUCGAUGGGUAGGGGUCCUGAGAGGGAGAUCCCCCACACUGGUACUGAAACACGGACCAGACUCCUACGGGAGGCAGCAGUGAGGAAUAUUGGACAAUGGGCGGAAGCCUGAUCCAGCCAUGCCGCGUGCAGGAAGACUGCCCUAUGGGUUGUAAACUGCUUUUAUACGGGAAGAAUAAGGUCUACGUGUAGACUGAUGACGGUACCGUAAGAAUAAGGACCGGCUAACUCCGUGCCAGCAGCCGCGGUAAUACGGAGGGUCCGAGCGUUAUCCGGAAUUAUUGGGUUUAAAGGGUCCGUAGGCGGGCUGUUAAGUCAGGGGUGAAAUUGCGCUCAACCAGGUCACUAAGUAUACACUGACGCUGAUGGACGAAAGCGUGGGUAGCGAACAGGAUUAGAUACCCUGGUAGUCCACGCCGUAAACGAUGGAUACUAGCUGUGUGGUUUUCGGACUGCGCGGCCAAGCGAAAGUGAUAAGUAUCCCACCUGGGGAGUACGUUCGCAAGAAUGAAACUCAAAGGAAUUGACGGGGGCCCGCACAAGCGGUGGAGCAUGUGGUUUAAUUCGAUGAUACGCGAGGAACCUUACCAGGGCUUAAAUGUAGAUUGACAGGUUUAGAGAUAGACUUUCCUUCGGGCAAUUUACAAGGUGCUGCAUGGUUGUCGUCAGCUCGUGCCGUGAGGUGUCAGGUUAAGUCCUAUAACGAGCGCAACCCCUGUCGUUAGUUGCCAGCAUGUUAUGAUGGGGACUCUAACGAGACUGCCGGUGCAAACCGUGAGGAAGGUGGGGAUGACGUCAAAUCAUCACGGCCCUUACGUCCUGGGCCACACACGUGCUACAAUGGCCGGUACAGAGAGCAGCCACUUGGCAACAAGGAGCGAAUCUAUAAAACCGGUCACAGUUCGGAUCGGGGUCUGCAACUCGACCCCGUGAAGCUGGAAUCGCUAGUAAUCGGAUAUCAGCCAUGAUCCGGUGAAUACGUUCCCGGGCCUUGUACACACCGCCCGUCAAGCCAUGGAAGCCGGGAGUGCCUGAAGUCCGUCACCGUAAGGAGCGGCCUAGGGUAAG
rnacentral:rRNA from 1 species